CAGCCGCCGCGGGAAUACGUAGGUCCCGAGCGUUGUCCGGAUUUAUUGGGCGUAAAGCGAGCGCAGGCGGUUAGAUAAGUCUGAAGUUAAAGGCUGUGGCUUAACCAUAGUACGCUUUGGAAACUGUUUAACUUGAGUGCAGAAGGGGAGAGUGGAAUUCCAUGUGUAGCGGUGAAAUGCGUAGAUAUAUGGAGGAACACCGGUGGCGAAAGCGGCUCUCUGGUCUGUAACUGACGCUGAGGCUCGAAAGCGUGGGGAGCAAACAGGAUUAGAUACCCGGGUAGUCCCUGUCUCUUAUACA
rnacentral:rRNA from 1 species